UCGACAACAUCUAGAAUUCUUUACCAGUUUAUAUUGCAAACGCUGGGACGGGUGUUUCGUCCCUUCGGGGACAUCCGAUAAAAUUGGAACGAUACAGAGAAGAUUAGCAUGGCCCCUGCGCAAGGAUGACACGCACAAAUCGAGAAAUGGUCCAAAUUUUUUUGAGACUUCAAUCCUCGAGUGAGGUUUUGUCGAGAAAUUAUCCAUUUUUUUAUUUUUUUGGUUAAUUUGCAGUUUUAUCUAUAUAUUAUUGAGGAUUUCGAUGAGCAGCUCUGAUGGAAUAUCUGGAUGUCAAUUUGAUGAGGUUUUUGUCAAAAAAAAUCGUCUAUAUUGUAGGGUUUCAGUCAGAAAUAUUUGAAGCUAUGUUUAUUGUUAAGGUUUCUGCCGCGGAAAGAGGUUUUUUUUAUUUUUUUUUUGCAGUUUCAUCGAAAUUGUUGAGGAAUUUGUCAAAUGCUUUAGGUGAACGUUCUGGAUAUCGAAAUUCAGGUUCAUGUUGUAACUCUUAUGUGCUCAAAGUAAAGAAACUAAUCAAAAGAGUAAACUCUGCACCACAUGGAAGAGAUGUUUUGAAGCAGAUAUUGAACAGGAGAAGGUGAUCUUUUUGUAUUUGGGACAAUGCUUCCAAGUGAUACUAUUGGGUGGCUCCAGGUGUCUUUUGAUAUGUGUUUUGGCUACUUAUUGCUGCAAUGGAAGGUGUCACAAAUGCAGACCUGUUGAGAUGCUAGCCCGUUAGAACAGCUGGAAACUCUUAUGUGACAUGAUCAUGAAAAAUUGAGUGAUUUUAUUCCUGAUGUUUAUGCUGGAAUGAAAAUAAAUAUGCAGAUUUGCCAACUUGUCCUGCGGCUAGACUAAGGUCUUAUGAUUCUUAUGGUCGCUUCCAGAUAUUGGAAUUACUAGCACUGGUUUGUGUGAAUAUUGGUUUAUCCUGUAAUACCGUACUUGUUUAUUUCGAUAUGUGCACAUAAAUUUCUGUAAAUGUUUAUUAUGUUAAUGUAAGUCUUUUGUUUUGUUGAUA